GACGAACGCUGGCGGCGUGCCUAAUACAUGCAAGUCGAGCGGAUUUAUCCUUCGGGAUAAGUUAGCGGCGGACGGGUGAGUAACACGUAGGUAACCUGCCUAUAAGACUGGGAUAACUAUCGGAAACGAUAGCUAAGACCGGAUAACUGGUUUUCUCGCAUGAGAGAAUUAUGAAACACGGAGCAAUCUGUGGCUUAUAGAUGGGCCUGCGGCGCAUUAGCAGUUGGUAGGGUAACGGCCUACCAAGGCGACGAUGCGUAGCCGACCUGAGAGGGUNAACGGCCACACUGGGACUGAGACACGGCCCAGACUCCUACGGGAGCAGCAGUAGGGAAUCUUCCGCAAUGGACGCAAGUCUGACGGAGCAACGCCGCGUGAGUGAUGAAGGUUUUCGGAUCGUAAAGCUCUGUUGCCCUAGACGAACAGCAAGGAGAGUAACUGCUCUUUGUGUGACGGUAUAGGAGAAGAAA
rnacentral:rRNA from 1 species